AUGGUGUUUUAAGAGCUUCCGUCAGCCCACUCGUGGGUGAGAAAUCGGGGGCUGAAUUAACUGCCGACUCAUUCAUUCAACCACUCAGUAGCAACACAUUUAAAAGUUAAUGCUACUGGUGAUUGAUUGAAUGAUGCGGGAGAUAAUUUCUCGCCCCUCUCUCUCUGUGCUUGGACUGAAGGGAGCUCCUCUCCCCUCUUUC
rfam:Erythranthe guttata cultivar DTN x IM62 scaffold_8_contig_115, whole genome shotgun sequence.